rnacentral:misc_RNA from 1 species
UCAAACUUGGUCAUUUAGAGGAAGUAAAAGUCGUAACAAGGUUUCCGUAGGUGAACCUGCGGAAGGAUCAUUAACGAAUGUGUUGGGAGGCUCUAUGCCCCUGCGCUCGGCUUGUUGGCCUGAGCGUGGGGCGGACGCCUCCCUUGACCGCUCAAACCCCUGUGCACUGUGCGCGUGGUUGAGGCGGGUGCGAGAGUGCCUGCCGCAGCUGCGCGACCUUUACAAACUCUGUAACUUAACGUGAAACUGCCUGCCCGCAAGGGUGGCUAAAUAUAAAAACAACUUUCAACAACGGAUCUCUUGGCUCUCGCAUCGAUGAAGAACGCAGC